GACGUGUAAGACUGCUGAAAAAAGGUGGGAGAACAGUGGCUCUUGGAGAUGCACAGUAAUCAUCCCGCUAAAGCAGAACUACACUGUCAUCGUAUUAAAGGGGGCUGCAGGAAGCAGCAUACAGAGGAAAUGCCUUGGGCGGGAUGGUAGCCCGGAUCAGGGCUCACAUACUGGCUCACAUGUGGGCA